rnacentral:rRNA from 1 species
AGUGAACGCUGGGCGGCAGGCCUAAUACAUGCAAGUCGAACGGCAGCACGGGGCAACCUGGUGGCGAGUGGCGAACGGGUGAGUAAUACAUCGGAACGUGCCCAGUCGUGGGGGAUAACGUAGCGAAAGCUACGCCUAAUACCGCAUACGAUCUACGGAUGAAAGCGGGGGACUCGCAAGAGCCUCGCGCGAUUGGAGCGGCCGAUGGCAGAUUAGGUAGUUGGUGAGGUAAAGGCCCACCAAGGCGACGAUCGGUAGCUGGUCUGAGAGGACGACCAGCCACACUCGGAACUGAGACACGGUCCAGACUCCUACGGGAGGCAGCAGUGGGGAAUAUUGGACAAUGGGCGCAAG